AGGUUUUCAAACAGAUGGAAAGUACAACCUAGAAACAAACUGGCAGAAGCAAUUAAUGAGGAAUGACCUGGUCAAAAGACAAGAAGAGGACUUUGAGGAGAGGCAAAGUCCUGGAUAAAGAAAACUACAGGGAGUUCCCAUCAUCACUCAGAGGAUGCCAAGGAUAUUUCAUAAGCAAACUGACAUAAUUCAACUUCCUUUGGAUGGAUCCCAACAUUCUAGAACUUCUGUUUGGACCAAGUAAUUUACCAUGAGCGGAUUCAUCCUAACAUAUGGCUAUUCAAGUGUAAGAGAGUGUAAUAAGAGGAACAGGGACAUAUUCCAGUUACAGAUGUGAUUUCUAUGUAUUCAGAGGUAGGUGAAAAAGAAAUUGCGAAGUUGGCAGUGCUUCUUAUCCUUUGUACAUCUAAAGGCUGAACUCAGUCGGCAGUGUAAUCACCAAGCACAGCCUGGCACAGCUGUUCAUUCUUUCUCAUCGUCUUUUAUCUAUGUAGUGCUUUCCCCUUAAUGUGAGUCUUUGAAACUCUGAGAGCCAAGUGCUUCAUUUCCCAUCAUUCCACACCUAUGCCAAGUUUCUAAAUUGGCUUUGAUGUGCAUUUUAAAUGUCUUGGCAUCCUGCUGUCAUCAUUCCCUGGAUCUGUCCCACUCUAUGAAGCUGUGGUAUGAUUAUCACUGUCCCAAGUGAAGAGACCAGCUGCCUAUGGAAUCAUGAUGAUGUUUUGCUGCACCUUUUUGUAGUUCCUGCGUUACUGAUGACUGCUGGGGAGCACAAUGUGAGUGGGUAAGAGUUACAUGUGUUGAAAUCAUGUAGGGCUAUGUAGCUACCUGAGCUACUUUCCUUUUAAUCCAUAGACCUUCAAUCUUGGCGUUUUAAUUCUAAAGUUUCAUUUUCAUUAUGGGUUGUAAUGGCUGCCAAGCUUAAACACUGCCAUCUUCAAAUGCUUUCUUUUCUCAGGCUGAGGAAUAAGCUUAGCAUUGUACAUAGAUUUAUAUUCUAGAUAAUGCCUUUUGGUGAGAAUUACCAUAUUUGGUGAGUAGCUCUCAGUGUGUAAUAGAUUUGCGAAAUAGAUGGUUUCUUUUUCCAAUUAAUAUAGCAUUUAAAGUUUUAAUGGCUUUCAUGAAAAAAUCCCAAAUAGAAACUGAUUUGUAGCUAAUCAUUCACCUCUGACUACAUGUUCAAUGACAUGAUUGUGUUUUUCUUGAUGUUGUUAUUUUUUUUCUUUUUUGGCUGCACCUUGGCAUAUGGAGUUGCUGGUCUAGGAGUCAGAUCUAAGACACAGCUGCAACCCAAGCCACAGCUGCUGCAAUGCUGGAUUCUUAACUCAUUGUUCUGGGCCAGGGAUUGAACCUGAGACCCAGCACUCCCAAGAAAUUACUGAUCCCAUUGUGCCACAGCAGGAACUCUGACAUGAAUGUUAUUAAAACACAUGACAGCAGUAAAAGCAAAAAUGAACACCCAAUUGCUAUCCCCCACUCCACCCAUAAAAUGCAAUUAGUGAAAACUUCUCAAAGAAAUAGGAGUCUAUUGUAAACACGUCCCUGUUUUACCUGUGCUAAUGAGAUAUUGCUCAAAAAAUGUGAUCUCAGUUUUUGUGCAUUUCUGGCUUUAAUAGUUGGAUUAAUCUCUUGAGGUACAUGAUAUCUGACCUUAAGGUACAGAAUCCAAAACUCUUAGAAUCUCUCCCAAAUGUCUCUUUGAGAUUCUUUCCCAGCAUGAAAAGGGAAGAUUAAUACUAGAAGAGAUCUUGGAUCUUAAUCCUUACAUCUGAAUAUCUACACUUUAAAUGAAAAAAGAGGAGUUCCCAUAGUGGCUUAGCAGGAACAAAUCUGUCUAGCAUCUAUGAGGAUGCAGAUUUGAUCCCUGGCCUCGUGCUCAGUGGGUUAAGGAUCCGUUGUUGCCCUGAUCUGUGGUGUAGGUCACAGAUGCGUCUUGGAUUUCACAUUGCUGUACUGUGGUGUAGGCCUGCGGCUACAGCUCUGAUUCUACUCCUAGCCUGGGAAACUCCAUAUGCUGCAGAUGCAGCCCUAAAAAGACAAAGAAAAGAAAAGAAAAGAAAAAAAAAAAG
rnacentral:lncRNA from 1 species